rnacentral:rRNA from 1 species
CACUCCUGCGGGAGGCAGCAGUGGGGAAUUUUGGACCAUGGGCGAAAGCCUGAUCCAGCAAUGCCGCGUGAGUGAAGAAGGCCUUCGGGUUGUAAAGCUCUUUUGUCAGGGAAGAAACGGUGAAAGCUAAUAUCUUUUGCUAAUGACGGUACCUGAAGAAUAAGCACCGGCUAACUACGUGCCAGCAGCCGCGGUAAUACGUAGGGUGCAAGCGUUAAUCGGAAUUACUGGGCGUAAAGCGUGCGCAGGCGGUUUUGUAAGUCUGAUGUGAAAUCCCCGGGCUCAACCUGGGAAUUGCAUUGGAGACUGCAAGGCUAGAAUCUGGCAGAGGGGGGUAGAAUUCCACGUGUAGCAGUGAAAUGCGUAGAUAUGUGGAGGAACACCGAUGGCGAAGGCAGCCCCCUGGGUCAAGAUUGACGCUCAUGCACGAAAGCGUGGGGAGCAAACAGGAUUAGAAACCCGGGUAGUCCC